UUUCAGUAACAGAAUAACGGCAAGUGAAAACAGCAAUUGCUAACAGUACUACUACUGAUUGUGUAUGAAGACCCACAAACAUUCCAUUAGUAUAAGUUAUAUUGAAGGAUCAGUCAAGGUUGUGGAUUCAUCUAAUAUGGAUUUGCAACCAACUCAACAGGCUGAAGUUUCCAACUUUCGCUAUAGCUGCUCUUUAGCUGCCUCUCAUGCACACUUGUGUGACAAGGGCUAUGCCAAUGGAAGAAAACAAGUUUGACUAACGAACACGAACCACCCAAGAACAGUCCAAUCCUUAUUCAGAGGGACAGAUCCAAUCUCCAGUACGGUGUCCACCUGUUUCUGGAUAAUCUUUAAGGUCUAUCAAUCUAUCUAUUAUUUAGCGCACUUCAUGUCUGUCUAUCUGUUGAAAAAAGAACAGACAAGAAAAACACAGAAAGGGCUGGAACACCAGAGCCAAUUUAUUUAUUACCAAUAUGAAAGAAAAAUAUCAACACUUACAUGCCUUCAUCAUCAGUUCAAGGACGGAUGCUAGGAUGAUAUGUCACAAAUAUAAUGUCAACAAAUUCAGUAAUGUCAAUGUGUGCAUUGCUAUCUUAUUCAAUUUACUUAUAUAGUGGGUUGGAAAAUGACUGACUGACUAUUACUAAUUACCUAAAUGUAACUGUGCAACUAAAUAUCAACAAAACCAUGGAAAAAUGAUUAUUGACUUUCACCACACCAAAGAGCCUCUAUGUCUGGUCACUAUUCAAGGAGUGGAUAUAAAUGGUGGUGCACUCCUACAGGUACUUGGGGGUCCACAUCAAUGGCAAGUUGGACUGGUCUCAGAGGGACUGUAUAAGAAAGAGUAGAGCAGGCUAUUUUUCCUUAAGAUACUGUGUUCCUUUAAUGUUGGUUAAUGACAUCCUUCAUGUUUUUUACAACUCUGUGAUGACCAGUGCCUUUUCUAAGCUGUGGUGUGCUAGGCCAGUAAUAUCAGCUCCAUAGAGACCCACCGAAAUAACAAGCUCAUUAAAAUGGCAGGCUCAGUUAUGGGAUACACCCUGGACCCCCUGAAAGUAGUAGCAAAGGAGAGAAUUAAAACAAAAGUGAGUGGCAUUAUGAACAGUGCUGCAUAUCCCCUCUCUGAAACAAUAACACUGCAUGCUUUCAACCAACAAAUUACUCAGAAGUGUGUCAGGAAACAUUAUUGGGGCUACUGUAUACCAACAAGAAUAUCACUGUGACUGUGAAAGCCAAGUCAGAAGUUUUCUUUCUUUUCAGUUUUCUUCCUUUUUAGUCAUUCUGGUAUGUGUUCAGACUAUAUGUACUGUAUUUCCCAUCAAACAAAG